AUGAAAGAAAGAGCAGGAGCGUUAAGGGAACAAGUAAGGGCGAUGAUAAAAGAUUCAAAUAAAAUACCAAAAAUAUUAGAUCUUAUAAUGACGCUAGAACGACUUGGUUUGGACUACCAUUAUGAGAAUGAGAUCAACCAGCAACUCAACGUUGUUUUCAACUCGGAUUACGAUGAUAAUAAUCUACACUUGGUUUCACUUUGGUUUUAUCUUCUAAAAAAUGGAUAUGAUGUGCCAUCAGAUGUAUUCCAAAAAUUUCAAGACCGAAAAGGAGAUUUUGUGAAUGUUGAUACAACAAGUUUGCUAAGCUUAUACAAUGCGGCAUAUCUGAGGACCCAUGGUGAGGAACUAUUAGAUGCGGCUAUCUCUUUCGCCAAAAGACGUCUUCUGUGUGAUUUAGAACUGGAAUCACCUUAUGCAAAGGAAGUGUGUUCUACCCUAGAUACACCUCUUUUUAGAAGGGUUGGAAUAUUAGAAACAAGAAGUUACAUAUCCAAGUAUGAAAAUGAUUCUAUACGAAAUGAAGCCAUACUUGAGAUUGCAAAACUGAAUUUUAACAUUCUACAUAUUCAUUUCUGUGAGGACUUAAAAGAUGUCACACUGUGGUGGAAGGAGCUCUAUGGUAAAUCCAAUUUGAGUUUAGUUAGAGAACGAAUAGUAGAAGUGUAUUUCUGGAUGAAUGGGGCAUGCUACAAACCUCAAUAUUCUCAUUCGAGAAUUAUACCGACGAAGAUCACAGCUUUCAUUACCAUUGUAGACGAUAUAUUUGACACAUAUGGUAGUACCAAAGAGAGUAUGCAACUUCAAGAAGCAAUUAAAAGGUGGGAUGAAAGUGCAGUAGCUCUGCUUCCAAAGUACAUGAAGAAUUUCUACCUGUAUUUACUAGAGACAUUUGCUUCCUUCGAGGCGGAGUUAGGAGUUGACAAGACCUACCGUGUGUUUUACCUAAAAGAAACGGCAAGUACUCUAUUUUAUACACAGCUGAAGCAAUUAGUUCAAGUAUACGCCGAUGAACUAAAAUGGCGCGAUGAACAUUAUGUGCCGAAAACAAUGAGCGAACAUCUUGAAGUUUCAUCUACAAGCAUUGGACCCUACCUGCUAGCUUGUGCUUGAGAUAACCGUGAGCAAAUAGGGGACCACUGCGGCUCUACCAUCCAAUGUUACAUGAAGGAGCAUAAGACAACAAUGCAUGAUGCUUGCCAGCAGAUAAAAGAACUCGCUGAAGAUUCAUGGAAGGAUAUGUUACAACAUUCUUUUGCUACAACAAAUCAACCAAUGGUUGUGCCACGAACAAUACUUAAUCUUGCUAAGACUGCGGGUAAUAUGUACAAACAUAACGAUGCAUACACUACUGCAGACACAAUCAAAGAUGCGAUAAGGCUGAUCUUUGUGGAGCCGAUAUAA
rnacentral:rRNA from 1 species